rnacentral:rRNA from 1 species
UACGGAGGGUGCAAGCGUUACCCGGAAUCACUGGGCGUAAAGGGCGUGUAGGCGGCCCGCCAAGUCUGACUUUAAAGACCGAAGCUCAACUUCGGGCAUGGGUUGGAAACUGACGGGCUAGACGGAUGGAGAGGUCACUGGAAUUCCUGGUGUAGCGGUGGAAUGCGUAGAUACCAGGAGGAACACCAACGGCGAAGGCAAUCCCCUGGCCUGCACUGACGCUCAUGCACGAAAGCGUGGGGAGCAAACAGG